rnacentral:rRNA from 1 species
AAACAAGAGAGUUUGAUCCUGGCUCAGGAUGAACGCUGGCGGCACGCUUAACACAUGCAAGUCGAGCGGAGAUGUGAGUUGGAAGGGCUACGGCCUGGAAGAAGCAGAUCUUAGCGGCGGACGGGUGAGGAACGCGUGGGUAACCUGCCCUAUACAGGGGGAUAACGUGUAGAAAUGCACGCUAAAACCGCAUAAGCUACAUUG